rnacentral:misc_RNA from 1 species
CAGAAGGCACAAGAGUGCAGUGACAGUCAUUUUACAGAGCACAAACACACAUUAAGAGCAGCAAAAACUGGGAACCCAUGACAGUGACACGGGAGCAGUCAUAUAUCUCUGUGUGCAAGGAACUAAAUGACCCCCCUCUUCGCCAGCUUCAAGAGACUUUGAAGUAUGUCGAUGCAAGGCUUGAUGUCAGCGGAAUUUACUUACCACGGAAGCACUUUCGCUGCGUAUUGCAAUUUGUUGAGGAGCGCCCCGACAUCGAAGAGCUAAUCUUGGAUGGUGCGAACAUAGGUGUGGAGGAGGUGAAGCUACUGAAAGAGUCAUUGCUGCGCUCUUGCGUGUCAAAGCUGAGUCUGCAACGGAUAAAGCUAGACUCUGCAAGCGCGAAUAUUAUUCGUCAACUCUGCAUUGAAAAUUCGAACUUAGUGUCUGUUGUACUGAGAGACACGUGCAUCCCUUCUUAUCUAGUCGAUGAAAUUAUGCUGAUUGUUGAUUUGAAUCGCUUGAACGCAGAAUCGCUGACCUCCACGUCUACUGCAGGGGCGCAACAGAACGCCUCGGCUGUGGGACGGUGGAUGCUUUUCAGAGGAAAAAAAGACCGUGACUUUUGUGCGACUGUGAAGCUAUCGUCUAGUGUGCAGAGUAAAGUUGUCGACAGUUUUGUUACAUCAUACGAUUCUGUUUUUAGCGAUAUCUCUUUUCAGCAAGACGCUUUCAAUCACCCUGUUGCAGGGACGGAAACAAUUCGGUGGAGUAAAUACUGUGCAUUGCACUCCUUUCAGGAAGCUGGGCUGGGAAACUCCAAAGCUCCUUUCUCGCCAUCGCCUUAUUACAACAACCAGAAUUUGUGCGCUGCUUUGAAUAUUCUCAGCAUUUACGAUGCCCUCUGCAAGUCGUUGGUUGUAAAACGAUACCCUGAUGCAGGACUGUACGUUUUUCGCCUUUUUGCUGGCGAAUCACCCGUUGAGGUGUACGUUGACGAUUUAGUUCCAUGCGUUCACGUAGAUGCGGCGUGCACCAUUGUUGGUUUGAAUUCGUGCAGUAGCCCGUUUUACGCCGCGGUUCUUGAGAAGGCUGUUGCAAAAGCAAUUGGUGGUUAUCGCUACAUCCAAGAACUAUCGUUACGUGACUGCAUCGAUCUCCUUACAGGUUGUACAAGUUUCGAAGUGAAUUUAUUGAGCCGAUCAUCGUUUUCUACCACUUUCGACACGCUGCGGGCCCUGAGCGAGUAUGGACACAAACUGGUCGCGUGCGCCAUCCCGCGUACCUCGAUUGAGGAACAGACUUUUGAAGAGAGUGGGGUGUGCUGCGGCAUUCCGUACGCCAUUUUGAAAACGGAUGCUUGCCAAAAAAAUGGUGCUCACUAUGCUUUUUUAAUCCAGGUGGCUGCCCCAUCGAGUGAAAGGGCCCUGAAGUACGCGUUUGAGUAUGAGAUGUACAAAACGGAAGAGGUGAACGGGAAUCGUGUUUUGUGGAUGACGUUUGAAGACUUUGCUGCUACGUUUGAGCGCAUUUUUCUUCUGCUGUGGCCUUUCGACGACGCUGUAUCGGAUCAUAAGACGACUGUGGAGUUUCAAGUAGCAAGCGAGUCUCUGUCUGCGGCUUCUCAAUUCGCCAAGAACCCCAGUUUUUUGAUUCAAAACAAAGGAAGGAACUCAAGCGCGGUUAUGGUGUCGCUAUCCGCUUCUUCCGCAUCUGACGCCACAAUUGGAGCCGAAUGUCUUUUUUACAAGGCCGCUAAUACUGAGAACGGAGCUUCCCUGCGUCGCUACAAUGUAUGCGAAGGCAACGCAUUUUUUGGCUCAGAAGUGUUCGAAGGGAAUGAGGGCUCUGUUUUUUUCAAUCUGCUUCCCACAGAGCGCCUGCAGAUGACUCUUUCUUCGCGUGUACCAAGCAGUUUUAGGAUUCGAAUAUCUUCCGUGGAGAAUGUCGACGCAAUGCAGCUCCCAGACAUUAUGGCUUCGUCGACUUUUUCUUCAAAGUGGAAUACACUCUUUAAGGCAAAGCGUUUUUCUGACGAUAUAUUUCAGCUUAACAGGAUUAGUGUUGGAUGCACUCUCAGUCUUGUGCUUGCUCUCUCUCAAAACACUGGCAGCAGCCCUCCUUUCCCGCUCGGAGUGCUUGGUUGGAAGGGUACUUCUAUCGACGUUGUCGAUGCAACCAAGCCACAUUUUUCCACACAACAGGAAAGGAGCACUGUCUGCGUACAUAGCUUCCUGCUUACUCUCGCUGCUGGCGAAAGCUUCUUUCUCCUCCCUUACUGCUGCGGAAGCCGAUGUCCCGAUGAUUAUGAUCUUACAGUUUUCUGUAAGGAGAGCUUUACGCAGAGCAGUGUGAAAACAGCCUCUGUGCUACGAUGUACAAAGACCUGACGAUGCUUUAUCUUCAUUUUACAAGCAAACC